AUUGAACGCUGGCGGCAGGCCUAACACAUGCAAGUCGAGCGAGCGACGGACGGGUGAGUAAUGUCUGGGAAACUGCCUGAUGGAGGGGUAUAACUACUGGAAACGGUAGCUAAUACCGCAUACCAUCAGAUGUGCCCAGAUGGGAUUAGCUAGUAGGUGGGGUGACGGCACACCUAGGCGACGAGCCCUACCUGGUCUGAGAGGAGGAUCAGCCACACUGGCACUGAGUCACGGUCCAUACUCCUACGUGAGGCAGCAGUGGGGAAGAUUGCACAAGGGGCGCAAUCCUGAUGCAGCCAUGCCGCGUGUGUGAAGAAGGCCUUCGGGUUGUAAAGCACUUUCAGCGGGGAGGCGUUACCCGCAGAAGAAGCACCGGCUAACUCCGUGCCAGCAGCCGCGGUAAUUC
rnacentral:rRNA from 1 species